AAAUAAAAAACAUUAUGGCUGUCAUUGACCAGAAUGACUCCAUUGAAACAAAGAUCUUGCAGCCUCCAAGCACUAGCAGUGUAUCUCAAUGAAGACCCUGAAAAGCUAGUGAAGGAGUACAGAAGUGAGACCCCUGAUGAAACCCAGGC